rnacentral:rRNA from 1 species
GGGCCCGCACAAGCAGUGGAGCAUGUGGUUUAAUUCGAUGAUACGCGAGGAACCUUACCAGGGCUUAAAUGUAGUGGGACAGGUCUAGAGAUAGACCCUUCUUCGGACUCAUUACAAGGUGCUGCAUGGUUGUCGUCAGCUCGUGCCGUGAGGUGUCAGGUUAAGUCCUAUAACGAGCGCAACCCCUAUCGUUAGUUGCCAGCGGGUAAUGCCGGGAACUCUAGCGAAACUGCCGGUGCAAACCGAGAGGAAGGUGGGGAUGACGUCAAAUCAUCACGGCCCUUACGUCCUGGGCUACACACGUGCUACAAUGGCCGGUACAGAGAGCAGCCACUACGCGAGUAGGAGCGAAUCUUCAAAGCCGGUCUCAGUUCGGAUCGCAGUCUGCAACUCGGCCCCGUGAAGCUGGAAUCGCUAGUAAUCG